AUUGAACGCUGGCGGCAGGCCUAACACAUGCAAGUCGAGCGGUAACACAGGGAGCUUGCUCCCGGGUGACGAGCGGCGGACGGGUGAGUAAUGUCUGGGAAACUGCCUGAUGGAGGGGGAUAACUACUGGAAACGGUAGCUAAUACCGCAUAACGUCGCAAGACCAAAGAGGGGGACCUUCGGGCCUCUUGCCAUCAGACGUGCCCAGAUGGGAUUAGCUAGUAGGUGGGGUAACGGCUCACCUAGGCGACGAUCCCUAGCUGGUCUGAGAGGGUGACCAGCCACACUGGAGAUGAGACACGGUCCAGACUCCUACGGGAGGCAGCAGUGGGGAAUAUUGCACAAUGGGCGCAAGCCUGAUGCAGCCAUGCCGCGUGUAUGAAGAAGGCCUUCGGGUUGUAAAGUACUUUCAGCGGGGAGGAAGGUGUUGAGGUUAAUAACCUCAGCAAUUGACGUUACCCGCAGAAGAAGCACCGGCUAACUCCGUGCCAGCCGCCGCCGUAAGAC
rnacentral:rRNA from 1 species